UACGUAGGGGGCAAGCGUUGUCCGGAUUUAUUGGGCGUAAAGAGCGUGUAGGCGGCCGUACAGGUCAGCUGUGAAAACUCGGAGGCUCAACCUCGAGACGUCGGUUGAAACCGUACGGCUAGAGUCCGGAAGAGGAGAGUGGAAUUCCCGGUGAUAGCGGUGAAAUGCGCAGAUAUCGGGAAGAACACCCGUGGCGAAGGCGACUCACUGGACACAUAUUGACGCGUGAGGUGGCGAAAGCGUGGGGAGCAACAGG
rnacentral:rRNA from 1 species